CACUGGAGAGGUGGCGACAGCAAAGAUGGAAAUCUCUUUGGGUUUUUACUAAUUUCAAUUUUCAUUGAACUGAAUUAGUAUUUAUCGAUCUGGUUUGAUUCAAUUAUUCUUGAAAUAUCAAUUUGGUUUGGUCCAGAUUUCAGAUGAUUCGUUUUUUCUAUUUUUCUUCAUCGGUUCGGUUCGAAACGAACCAACAAUGCUCUCCCAGGUGCAUCAAGCACACUCUUUGAUCUCCUAAUCAAGCACUAACCCUGUGUGAAAUCUCUAGGGUUAGGGUUUUGGUUUUGUGUCUAAAUUAUGGAAGCAAAGCAACUACUCAAGGACAAGAAGUUCUAGUUCGCUUCUUUCCUCAUUGCCUGGGCUGCUGCUCUUCAGGGGCAUAUGAUGUGGUUACAGAAACAGGACUCCUUCAAGCAGAAGUUUGGGACGCUAAACCAAAGCGAUAAUGAUAAUAAUAAUGCCCGAGAGUGACCCACAUAAGCUUCACGGUUCAAAACAUUGGCAAAGGAGUGAAUCCGUGAAUGUACUAGUGAAGAAAUUGAUUCAGAACUCUGUAUGUAAAGAAAAUGCAAUUCUUGAAUUUCAAAUUUUGCUUCAUAUCUGUUUCCCAUUUAUGCUUUUUGGCUGCUGUCAAAGCAAUCCGAUAUUAUAUGUCUAGUAACUUCAUUCUAAUUCUGCAUAUGUGAUACGUGCUGUUUGGAUUAACAAGCUAGCUUGCUAGCUGUGGAAGAAUAAUAAAUCAGUUGCAGAAGCCGGAAAUGGUAGAGAAGCUGUUGUGAUCUGUUGAAGGUGGUAUGGGGAGAAAGAGAGAGAUGAAGAAGCGUUUCCGCUGGAAUAUGGCACAGUUUCUUGCAUUCCUGCAGCUUAAUGUUUGGGAGACAAAAGCAGAGUUGAGGUCAUGUUUGACAUGAAAAUAACAGCAAAGCAUAAAGGACUGUUGUCAUAGUAGGAGCUAAACCAUGUAUCAUUGGACGCUACCUUUUGUACAAGCUGCAUAAUUGUAUCAUAAAUAAUUUCAAUUUGGCUAGAUACACAGUUAAUGCAAGGACUCAAAGUUCUUUUAUCAUAUGGAAGUGCAUUAGACAAUCUUGUUAUGUGUUUCUUCUGAGUUUGAUCUUAUGUGAUGAUUUGGUCCCUUGAAACAUGUA